rnacentral:rRNA from 1 species
AUUGAACGCUGGCGGCAGGCCUAACACAUGCAAGUCGAACGCGUGGCGGACGGGUGAGUAAUGUCGGGGACAGUGCCCGGGGGAGGGGGAUCACUAGUGGACACGGUCGCUAAUCCCGCAAAAUAUCGGAUGUGCCCAUAUGGGAUUAUCUAGUGGGUGGGGUAACGGCUCACCUAGGCGACGAUCCCUAGCUGGUCUGAGAGGAUGACCAGCCACACUGGAACUGAGACACGGUCCAGACUCCUACGGGAGGCAGCAGUGGGGAAUAUUGCACAAUGGGCGCAAGCCUGAUGCAGCCAUGCCGCGUGUAUGAAGAAGGCCUUCGGGUUGUAAAGUACUUUCAGCGGGGAGGCGUUACCCGCAGAAGAAGCACCGGCUAACUCCGUGCCAGCAGCCGCGGUAAUUC